rnacentral:tRNA from 1 species
GGGAAGGUAGCUCAUUGGUAGAGUGCUUGCCUUGCAUGCAUGAGGCCCUGAGUUUGAUUCCUCAGCACCA